GUUGUAGAGAGGCCUCCCUCGGGGAUGUUACAGGAGGAUAAAGUACCAGGAUUAAUUUGUGUUCAAUACAGAGGUCUUUCUUUAAAGAAUUUUAAAAUGUCUAUGCAUGGAACAUUGAAAAGUAUUGAAGGGCCUCCAAACUUGGGUAUAAACUUGCCUUUGAGCAUUAAGCCUGCAACUCAAAAUUCAGCAAAUCAGAACAAAGAGGACACCAAAUCCAUGAAUGGGAAAGAGAAAUUGGAAAAGAAAUCUCCAUCUCCUGUGAAAAAAUCAAUGGAAACCAAGAAAGUGGCCAGUCCUGGGUGGACGUGUUGGGAGUGUGACUGCCUGUUCAUGCAGAGAGAUGUGUACAUAUCCCACGUGAGGAAGGAGCACGGGAAGCAAAUGAAGAAACACCCCUGCCGCCAGUGUGACAAGUCUUUCAGCUCGUCCCACAGCCUGUGCCGGCACAACCGGAUCAAGCACAAAGGCAUCAGGAAAGUGUACGCCUGCUCGCACUGCCCAGACUCCAGACGUACUUUUACCAAACGUUUGAUGCUGGAGAAGCACGUCCAGCUGAUGCAUGGCAUCAAGGACCCUGACCUGAAAGAAAUGACAGAUGCCACCAAUGAGGAGGAAACAGAAAUAAAAGAAGACACUAAGGUCCCCAGUCCCAAGCGGAAGUUGGAAGAACCAGUUCUGGAGUUCAGGCCUCCCCGAGGAGCGAUCACUCAACCACUGAAAAAGCUGAAAAUCAAUGUUUUUAAGGUUCACAAGUGUGCCGUGUGUGGCUUCACCACCGAAAACCUGCUGCAAUUCCACGAACACAUCCCUCAGCACAAAUCGGAUGGUUCUUCCUACCAGUGCCGGGAGUGUGGCCUCUGCUACACAUCUCACGUCUCUCUGUCCAGGCACCUCUUCAUUGUACACAAGUUAAAGGAACCUCAGCCAGUGUCCAAGCAAAAUGGGGCUGGGGAAGAUAACCAACAGGAGAACAAACCCAGCCACGAGGAUGAAUCCCCUGAUGGCGCCGUGUCAGACAGAAAGUGCAAAGUGUGCGCAAAAACUUUUGAAACUGAAGCUGCCUUAAAUACUCACAUGCGGACACACGGCAUGGCCUUCAUCAAAUCCAAAAGGAUGAGCUCAGCCGAGAAAUAGCCACAGAUGCUCCAUGAGGAAAAUCCCUGUCCACAUUGGAAUAAAAAAGACAUUUUUGUUACAAAAAGUUUGCAGUAUAAUAGAGUUAACAGUACUGUCUAGGCUGUUGCAAUAUAUUCUCUUUCAACGUACCUUCCUUCACCUCGUCGUAUAUAUCCUCGAUAAGUAUUAAAACAGUAUUUGAGUUUAAAAGAGUUUGUAUAUAUUUAAAUGAAUAACUUUUUAUACUCUUUGUUACAUGUUUGUAUCAGUAUUUAGUGGAAAACCAUUUGAGUUGUUUUGGGUUAGAAUUUUUCUUUUUGUACUGUUUCUUUAAAACAGAGUUCUUAGUAACA
rnacentral:sRNA from 1 species